GGCUGUUGUACAAAGAGGUACAGCGUUUAUUCUUUUAGGGCAUUACGUAUGAUGUUACACUUCGCUUACAGAUCUGUGGCAACCUUCCUGUUGCCUCUUAACCAACACAUACUGCACACUGAAGGACAUGCUGGGAAAAGUGCUUUUGGGAAUUUUUUGAAUGAUUUUGAAAUCAAAAGUUAACUUCUUAAUGUUGGGAUUUAUUAAAUAAAAUCAGGCUCUGACCACAGAAGUAUAUAGGCUCAUAUUGCCUCGAUUUCUGUUACUCAAGCAGGUGUUCAUAAAUACCAUUGUAUGUCUGGGCCCAGCUGGUUAUGAUUCUCAAAAAUAACUGAGUGAUAAUACUGUGUUGACUAAGGCUCCAGGAGCUGCAGCUCACCAGCUUCAAUAAUUUAAUUCACAAAACAAAUAAACCAGUGGGUUUCCUUGAUUAAAGGCAAACUGGAACCAUAGAGAUAUGAAUAAGGUAAGAUACGUGUGCCCCUUACAGUAUUCUUGCAUAUAAUACAUUGGAAAAACAGAUGUUGCAGGCUUGUGAUGGUGCAGCAAAGGAUGAAACGCUGGUACUAUACGCAAAGAUCAGUGAGUUGAAACCCCCUUCCAAAACCCCUUUUCUUCUUCCAUAAGUAAGCUCGUCCUCCAUACGUAAUUUUAGUGCACACAACAUACGUUUAGGUCAUGGCAUUAUUGCUUCCCCUUCAUAAAGGAUGAUGUUCCUUCCAGUUGCUGCUUUCUGGCUUGCCGUUUUGCUUUGAAACGGGAGGUGACCUGGAGCGUAUCGUCAUGGCAUUCCACCUGAAGGUACAAAAUACUGCAGUCUUCAACUGUUUCACGUUCAGACAUGGAGGUUUCCAGUCGUUUCCAGUGGCAAUGUUUGGAGCACCGGCUGAAGAUCAGGAAUUCCAUUCAAGAUCCUCUUGAUUUAAUUGCUGAUGGUUUGAGAAGUUAGAAUUAGCUGUAAUCAUCAGUAAGCCAGCAGUCUUGAAUGGGUGAAAAUGACAACCACCUACUUACAAGGUAAGUUCUUAGCUGUAAUUAAAUGUUGUGUCAUGAUGCUGGAAUAUUUCAACGUAGAACUUGGACAAGCAGUACAGAAAUCAUCCUCCA
rnacentral:lncRNA from 1 species